rnacentral:snoRNA from 1 species
GUCUUUACACUUGAUCUCUGAACUUCAGGUAAGUUCCAUGUUAGACAAGCUUAUACACUGAUGCC